rnacentral:lncRNA from 1 species
CUUUAGAACCGAUUUGCGGUUUCAUGACGCUCACUGAACAAUUCAGGGCAUGAAUAGAAAAAGAGAUGAAUAAAACUUACAUUUGUUUCUUCAACAUUGUUGCUGCGGCCUUGAAUGUGCAUUUAUAUCUGUCACUUUUCUCAGCUAGCGAAGAAGCUUGUGCAACUGCAUUAGCUAUUGGAGAAGCACGAGCUUGGGCCUGAGCCAGGGGCAACUAACCUGGAGUUGCAAAAUGUUGCUAUUGCUCCAACUCUUGCUACUUGUUUCAGCCCCUCCCAAAUUUAUCCUGGGUCUCUGCUGUCUCCAAGGGGCCUGCAUCUCAAGCAGGAGAGCUCCUCCUCUCAAACUACU